UACGAAGGGGGCUAGCGUUGCUCGGAUUUACUGGGCGUAAAGGGCGCGUAGGCGGACAGUUAAGUUGGGGGUGAAAGCCCGGGGCUCAACCUCGGAAUUGCCUUCAAUACUGGCUGUCUUGAGUGUGAGAGAGGUGUGUGGAACUCCGAGUGUAGAGGUGAAAUUCGUAGAUAUUCGGAAGAACACCAGUGGCGAAGGCGGCACACUGGCUCACUACUGACGCUGAGGCGCGAAAGCGUGGGGAGCAAACAGG
rnacentral:rRNA from 1 species